rnacentral:rRNA from 1 species
AACGAACGCUGGCGGCGUGGAUAAGACAUGCAAGCCGAACGAGAGAAUUGCUAGCUUGCUAAUAAUUCUCUAGUGGCGCACGGGUGAGUAACACGUGAGUAACCUGCCCCCGAGAGCGGGAUAGCCCUGGGAAACUGGGAUUAAUACCGCAUAGUAUCGAAAGAUUAAAGCAGCAAUGCGCUUGGGGAUGGGCUCGCGGCCUAUUAGUUAGUUGGUGAGGUAACGGCUCACCAAGGCGAUGACGGGUAGCCGGUCUGAGAGGAUGUCCGGCCACACUGGAACUGAGACACGGUCCAGACACCUACGGGUGGCAGCAGUCGAGAAUCAUUCACAAUGGGGGAAACCCUGAUGGUGCGACGCCGCGUGGGGGAAUGAAGGUCUUCGGAUUGUAAACCCCUGUCAUGUGGGAGCAAAUUAAAAAGAUAGUACCACAAGAGGAAGAGACGGCUAACUCUGUGCCAGCAGCCGCGGUAAUACAGAGGUCUCAAGCGUUGUUCGGAAUCACUGGGCGUAAAGCGUGCGUAGGCUGUUUCGUAAGUCGUGUGUGAAAGGCGCGGGCUCAACCCGCGGACGGCACAUGAUACUGCGAGACUAGAGUAAUGGAGGGGGAACCGGAAUUCUCGGUGUAGCAGUGAAAUGCGUAGAUAUCGAGAGGAACACUCGUGGCGAAGGCGGGUUCCUGGACAUUAACUGACGCUGAGGCACGAAGGCCAGGGGAGCGAAAGGGAUUAGAUACCCCUGUAGUCCUGGCAGUAAACGGUGCACGCUUGGUGUGCGGGGAAUCGACCCCCUGCGUGCCGGAGCUAACGCGUUAAGCGUGCCGCCUGGGGAGUACGGUCGCAAGAUUAAAACUCAAAGAAAUUGACGGGGACCCGCACAAGCGGUGGAGUAUGUGGCUUAAUUCGAUGCAACGCGAAGAACCUUACCUGGGCUUGACAUGUAAUGAACAACAUGUGAAAGCAUGCGACUCUUCGGAGGCGUUACACAGGUGCUGCAUGGCCGUCGUCAGCUCGUGUCGUGAGAUGUUUGGUUAAGUCCAGCAACGAGCGCAACCCCUGUUGCCAGUUACCAGCACGUGAAGGUGGGGACUCUGGCGAGACUGCCCAGAUCAACUGGGAGGAAGGUGGGGACGACGUCAGGUCAGUAUGGCCCUUAUGCCCAGGGCUGCACACGUACUACAAUGCCCAGUACAGAGGGGGCCGAAGCCGCGAGGCGGAGGAAAUCCUGAAAACUGGGCCCAGUUCGGACUGUAGGCUGCAACCCGCCUACACGAAGCCGGAAUCGCUAGUAAUGGCGCAUCAGCUACGGCGCCGUGAAUACGUUCCCGGGUCUUGUACACACCGCCCGUCACAUCAUGGAAGCCGGUCGCACCCGAAGUAUCUGAAGCCAACCGCAAGGAGGCAGGGUCCUAAGGUGAGACUGGUAACUGGGAUGAA